AUGUGCAACUCAACAGUAAAAAAGGAAAUAUAUGAAGAUAAUAUAAGCCACACUGUAAUUCUUAAUCAUGCUUACAUUUUUGAAACUGAAACCUAACCUUAAGUCAAGUGAUAGGAGAAUGAUGUGUAUUUACUGCAUUUGGACACCCAGGAGAGUCAUGCAUGGGCAGAAACCAUAGAAGCUACUCAAGAGGAGAGCAAGUCUGAAUGUUUUCUCCAUGCCAGGUGCUGUGCUCAAAGCUUUGCAUACAAUCUCAUUUAAUCCUCACAGCAAUCUACUACCGUCUCCAUUUCAUAGUUUAGAAACUGUGGCUUCAAGAGGCGAAGUGAACUGCUCAAGGUCACAUAAGGGUAAGUGACAGAAUUUGGACUCAAACCCAGGACAGAUUUCAAAACCCAGAUUCUUAUAAUGUAUGCUACUGUAAUCAGUUCAUUAAAGGAAUGAAUGGAAA